CUACGGGAGGCUCCAGUGAGGAAUAUUGCACAAUGGGGGGAACCCUGAUGCAGCAACGCCGCGUGGAGGAUGACGCAUUUCGGUGUGUAAACUCCUUUUAUAUGUCAAGAAAAUGACGGUAGCAUAUGAAUAAGCACCGGCUAACUCCGUGCCAGCAGCCGCGGUAAUACGGAGGGUGCAAGCGUUACUCGGAAUCACUGGGCGUAAAGGGCGCGUAGGCGGGUUGGAAAGUCAGGUGUGAAAUCCUGCAGCUUAACUGUAGAACUGCACUUGAAACUUCUAAUCUAGAGUAUGGGAGGGGGAGAUGGAAUUAGUGGUGUAGGGGUAAAAUCCGUAGAUAUCACUAGGAAUACCUAAAGCGAAGGCGAUCUCCUGGAACAUUACUGACGCUAAGGCGUGAAAGCGUGGGGAGCAAACAGGAUUAGAUACCCGGGUAGUC
rnacentral:rRNA from 1 species